AUGAUUACGGAAGAGAAUUAUGGCAUUGUUGAUGUUCCGGGGCAGCAGCUACUGUGGUGAUAGUCUGCGGGACAGCAGUUGUACAGUUUCAGAAAGUGGUGGAAAAAUGCAUUCGGAUCGAAAUGCAUUACUUACCAUGCAUGAUGAAGUUCAAAGUAAAGAUGAGUGGUACUUGGAUUCUGAUUGUUCAACACAUAUGACGGGUCGAAAGGAUUGGUUUGUGCAAAUCAAUCAAGCGGCAAAGAGUAAAGUCAAGUUUGCCGAUGACACCACUUUAAGAGCCGAAGGGGUAAGAGAUGUUUUGAUCGAAAGAAAGAAUGGUGGACACUCUAGGAUCAAAGAUGUCUUGUACAUACCGGGAAUUAAGUGCAAUCUUUUAAGCAUUGGCCAAUUACUUGAAAGAGGGUACUUAAUUCGGCUGGAGAAUAAGAUGUUACGCGUUUUAGAUUCAAACGGUGUGUUGAUUCUAAAAGCGUCGAUGGCUGCCAAUAGAACUUUUAAGGUUGAGUUAAAGGUUAUGGAGCAUCGUUGUUUAGCUACCGCGGCAAGUAGAGAUGAGUGGUUAUGGCAUUACCGUCUUGGUAACCUAAACUUUAGGGAAUUUAAAAUGUUGCAACAAAGUGAAAUGGUAACGGGGCUGCCACAUAUUAGUGUUCCGACAGAAUUAUGUGAGGAAUGUGUGAAGAGUAAGCAACACAUGAAUGUGUUUAGCAAGGACGUGGGUCGAAGAACCAAAGGCUUACUUGAGGUGGUGUAUUUUGAUGUUUGUGGACCGAUGCAAGUAGAGACUUAUGGCGGCAAUCGAUAUUUUGUUACGUUCAUUGACGAUUUUAGUAGGAAGCUUUGGAUAUAUCUUAUCAAGAGAAAGGAUGAGGUGUUUGGAGUGUUCAAGAGUUUCAAAUCCAUGGUGGAGCGUCAAAGCGGUCGGAAGCUCAAAAUUCUCAAAACUGAUGGUAGAGGUGAAUAUACCUCUAGUGAGUUUGGGAAGUUUUGUGAUCUUUAG